rnacentral:misc_RNA from 1 species
AAUACCAUUGGCAUCAAUGUCAAAUUUCACUUCAAUUUGUGGAACCCCUCUUGGGGCAGGAGGAAUUCCAUCAAGCCGGAAGCUACCUAAAGAUUUGUUGUCCCUAACAAAUUCUCGCUCUCCUUGGAGGACAUUAAUUUCUACACUUGUCUGACCAUCAGCAGCGGUAGAGAACACUUCUGAUUUGGAGGUAGGCAAUGUUGUAUUUCUUGGAAUGAUCUUUGUCAUCACACCACCAAGUGUUUCCAAACCAAUGGACAAUGGUGUGACAUCUAAAAGGACAAUAUCGCUGACAUCUCCGGCCAAAACUCCAGCCUGCACUGCAGCACCAAGAGCAACGACUUCAUCGGGAUUAACUGUAACAUUGGGGUCCUUUCCAGUCAAUUUCUUAACAAGUUCCUGAACAGCUGGGAUACGUGUAGAACCACCAACAAGGAUGACCUCAUCAAUAUCGCUGAAGGAGAGCUUGGCAUCUCUCAAGGAAUUCUGAACAGGAGUUUUAAGCCUGUCAAGCAGAUCUGAGCAUAGUUCUUCAAAUUUCCCACGUGUGAUAGUGGUCUCAAUGUGUUUAGGACCAUCAGCAGUAGCCGUAAUGAAUGGUAAACUGAUGUUAGUCUGGGUCAGCGAUGACAGUUCCAUCUUAGCUUUCUCAGCAGUCUCAGUCAGACGUUGAAGAGCUUGUUUGUCCUUUAGAAGAUCAAUACCUUCAUCUCUUUUGAAACUUGCAGCAAGCCAAUCAACAAUCCUCUUGUCAAAAUCAUCACCACCAAGAUGGGUGUCACCAGAAGUUGACAACACCUCAAAGACACCGUCACCAACCUCAAGAACUGAUACAUCAAAAGUACCACCUCCAAGAUCAAAAACCAAAAUUGUUUCGUUACUUUUCUUUUCAAAACCAUAAGCCAAGGAGGCAGCAGUGGGUUCAUUAAUUAUCCGAAGAACUUCUAAUCCAGCAAUGCGACCUGCAUCCUUAGUUGCUGUCCUCUGAGAAUCAUUGAAGUAUGCAGGAACCGUGACAACAGCCUUGGAAACCUUGUCAUUCAAAAAUUUGGAUGCAUCAUCCACCAACUUCCUCAGGACCUGAGCUGAAAUUUCUUCAGCAGCGAAUGAUUUGCCAAUGGCAGGGCAAUCAAGCUUGACAUUUCCAUUCUCAUCUCUGAUGACAUUGUAGGACACCUGCUUCGACUCCUCAUCCACCUCAUUCAUCUUCCUUCCAAUGAAUCUCUUCACUGAAAAGAAGGUAUUCUCCGGGUUCACCACAGCCUGACGCUUAGCAAUUUGACCAACAAGCCUAUCCCCACUCUUAGUAUAAGCGACCACUGAAGGAGUUGUCCUCUGUCCUUCAGCAUUCGUCACUAUGGUAGGCUUCCCUCCUUCCAUAGCAGCCACAGCAGAAUUAGUAGUCCCCAAGUCAAUUCCCACCACCUUCUCCGCCACCACACGCAUCGGUGCAUAACCACCGUUAUUCCCCCGGCUCUUCUUCUGCUUCAAUCCAAAAGCUAGGGUUCUAUUGUUCAGUUUCUGGCCCAAAAACACAGACUUUAAAGGUUUUCUAGUGGAAGAAGAUGAAUUAGCGAAAUAUGUAGCUCCAAGAGCAUGAAUUUGAGCAGUUGAAGACGCCAUAGCAAACCCCAAAUAACCCUAAAGAGAAAGAAGAAUUGAGAAUUUGGGGAUUAGAGGAAAAGGCGAGUUAGGAGAAAGAGGAGUUCGGCCAUUCUAUGAUUAUUUAGAAAGUUGCCUUCGUCACAAAGCGGAAAUGGUUAUUUUUGAAGCAGCUAGGGCAAUCACAGAGCUUAACGGCGUGACUACUCGAGAAUUAACUCCUGCUAUCACUGUCUUACAGCUCUUUUUAAGCUCUUCUAAGCCAGUUCUUAGGUUUGCUGCUGUCCGCACUUUGAACAAGGUGGCAAUGACACAUCCUAUGGCUGUGACAAAUUGCAACAUUGAUAUGGAGAGUCUGAUUUCUGAUCAAAAUAGGAGCAUUGCAACUCUGGCUAUCACAACUCUACUCAAGACUGGGAAUGAAUCUAGCAUAGAUCGUCUUAUGAAGCAGAUCACUAACUUCAUGUCUGACAUUGCUGAUGAGUUUAAGAUAGUGGUGGUGGAAGCCAUUAGAUCGUUGUGUUUGAAGUUCCCCCUUAAGUACAGAUCAUUGAUGAAUUUCUUGAGCAAUAUUUUGAGGGAAGAAGGUGGAUUUGAGUACAAGAAGGCUAUUGUUGAUUCGAUUGUGAUCCUGAUUAGAGAUAUCCCAGAUGCUAAAGAAGGUGGAUUGCUUCACCUAUGUGAAUUCAUCGAGGACUGUGAAUUUACAUAUCUUUCUACUCAGAUACUACACUUUCUUGGAAAUGAAGGACCUAAGACCUCUGAUCCCAGUAAGUACAUUCGAUAUAUAUAUAAUCGGGUGAUACUUGAAAACGCAACGGUUCGGGCCAGUGCAGUGAGCACCUUAGCAAAGUUUGGUGCCUUGGUUGAUUCAUUAAAGCCUCGCAUAUUUGUGCUGUUGAAACGUUGUCUGUUUGACAGUGAUGAUGAGGUCCGUGACCGUGCUACACUUUACUUGAAUACCCUUGGUGGUGAUGGUGCAGUUGUUGAAACUGAUGAAGAGGUGAAAGAAUUCCUUUUUGGUUCACUCGAUGUCCCUUUAACCAAUCUGGAAACCAGUUUGAAGAACUAUGAGCCCUCGGAGGAACCAUUUGAUAUUUAUUCUGUACCUAAGGAAGUCAAAUCUCAACCCUUGGCAGAGAAGAAAGCACCUGGUAAAAAGCCAACUGGUUUGUCUGCUCCAUCGGUGGCCCCUACUUCCACUGUUGAUGCGUAUGAAAGAUUACUGUCCUCUAUUCCAGAAUUUGCCAGUUAUGGGAAGCUUUUCAAGUCAUCUGCGCCAGUGGAGCUAACAGAAGCUGAAACAGAAUAUGCAGUGAAUGUUGUCAAGCACAUUUUUGACAGUCAUAUUGUGUUCCAGUACAACUGCACCAACACUAUUCCUGAACAAUUGCUGGAGAAUGUCAGUGUUAUAGUAGAUGCUUCUGAAGCUGAGGAAUUUUCUGAAGUAGCAUCCAAACCUCUCAAGUCCCUUCCAUACGAUACUCCAGGGCAGACAUUUGUGGCUUUUGAGAGACCGGAAGGAGUCCCUGCUGUUGGGAAAUUCUCAAACACAUUAAGGUUCAUCGUUAAAGAGGUGGAUCCAUCUACUGGUGAAGCUGAAGAUGAUGGUGUCGAAGACGAGUACCAACUAGAAGACCUUGAGGUUGUUUCAGCAGAUUAUAUGCUAAAAGUUGGAGUGUCCAACUUUAGGAAUGCCUGGGAGAGUUUGGGAGCAGAUUGUGAAAAGAUAGAUGAAUAUGGUCUCGGACCAAUGGAAGGCCUAACUGAAGCUGUAAAUGCAGUCAUCAGCCUUCUUGGCAUGCAACCUUGCGAGGGUACUGAGGUAGUCCCAAGCAAUUCGAGAUCACACACAUGUUUAUUAUCUGGUUUAUACAUUGGCAAUGUAAAGGUUCUAGUUCGGUUGUCAUUUGGAGUUGGUGGGCCAAAGGAGGUUGCAAUGAAA